AUGUCAUUUGGUCUGACUAACGCACCUGCCUAUUUCAUGAACCUGAUGAACAAAGUGUUUAUGGAGUUUUUGGAUAAGUUCGUCGUAGUGUUCAUUGAUGAUAUUUUAGUCUACUCCAAGAAUGAAGAGGAGCAUAAGGAACAUUUGCGUUUGGUACUUGAGAAGCUCAGAGAACAUCAGUUAUACGCCAAGUUCAGCAAAUGUGAGUUUUGGUUGAAGGAAGUUGGAUUCCUCGGACAUGUUAUAUCCGGAGAAGGAAUAGCAUUAGACCCCACCAAAGUCGAUACUGUGACAAACUGGGAAUCACCCGCAUCAGUUGGAGAGAUCCGGAGUUUUCUUGGACUUGCAUGA
rnacentral:rRNA from 1 species